AUGGCGGCGAUCGCGAGGGGGAGCGUGCGGGAGGUCCGGGCGUCCGACAUCGAGGCGGCCGGGCUCGCCGCGGCCGACGCGGGGCCCUUCCUCGGCGCGCUCCGUUUGGCGGUUGGUGGCCAUGGCGACGCGGCCGCCGCGUGGGCGGCGGUCGUGGCGGCGGGGGUGCUGAGGCCGGACCACCCGCACGCGCUCCACCAGCUCGUGUACUACUCCGUCUACGCCGGCUGGGACCGCGCUGGCCGGGGCCCGCCGCCCUACUGGUUCCCGUCGCCCAUUGACUGCAACCAAACAAAUCUUGGGAGAGUGAUGGAAGAGAAUGGACCCAAGUUAUUAGGAGCAUCAUAUAAGGAUCCAGUUUCAAGCUUUGGCCUCUUCCACAAGUUUGCUGUUGAGAAUCAGGAGGUCUACUGGAAAAUUGUGCUGAAGGAGCUCUCCAUCAAGUUCCUGCAAGAACCGAUGUCGAUUCUAGAUGCGUCAGAUAAGUCAAAGAAGGGAGGAACAUGGUUUCCAGGUGCAGUGCUCAACAUUGCUGAAUGUUGUCUCCUACCACGGCCUUCCCAAAACAGGACAGACGAAAGCACGACCAUUGUAUGGAGGGAUGAGGGCUUCGACGAUGAUCCAGUGAACCGUACGUCGUUGAAGGAGCUUCGCACCCAAGUGAUGACUGUUGCAAAUGCCCUUGAUACCAUGUUCCAAAAGGGGGACCGUACUGCAAUCGACAUGCCUAUGACAUGCAAUGCGGUCAUUAUUUAUUUGGCAAUCAUCCUUGGAGGCUUUGUUGUUGUGUCAAUAGCAGACAGUUUUGCACCUCAGGAGAUAGGCACUUGCAUGAGGGUGGCAAAAGCAAAGGCCGUUUUUACUCAGGAUUUCAUAAUUAGGGGAGGGAAGAAAUUUCCUCUUUACAGCUGUGUCAUGAAAGGGACUUCAUGUAAAGCUAUUGUAAUUCCUGCAACUGGAGACUUUCUUGGAGUUACACUAAGGAAUGGUGAUAUGUCCUGGAAAGAUUUUCUUUCUCGUGCUGCAGGAAGGUCACCCAUGUACUCUCCAGUUUAUCAAUCUGCAGACGCCCUAAUUAAUAUACUGUUUUCAUCAGGAACAACUGGAGAGCCAAAAGCUAUACCAUAG
rnacentral:rRNA from 1 species